AACGAACGCUGGCGGCAUGCCUAACACAUGCAAGUCGAACGAACCCUUCGGGGUUAGUGGCGCACGGGUGCGUAACGCGUGGGAAUCUGCCCUUUGCUUCGGAAUAACAGUUAGAAAUGACUGCUAAUACCGGAUGAUGUCUUCGGACCAAAGAUUUAUCGGCAAAGGAUGAGCCCGCGUAGGAUUAGGUAGUUGGUGGGGUAAAGGCCUACCAAGCCGACGAUCCUUAGCUGGUCUGAGAGGAUGAUCAGCCACACUGGGACUGAGACACGGCCCAGACUCCUACGGGAGGCAGCAGUGGGGGAAUAUUGGACAAUGGGCGAAAGCCUGAUCCAGCAAUGCCGCGUGAGUGAUGA
rnacentral:rRNA from 1 species